rnacentral:rRNA from 1 species
CCAAUAGCGUAUAUUAAAGUUGUUGCAGUUAAAAAGCUCGUAGUUGAAUUUCGGAAUCAAUUUGUUGGUCGUGCCUCGGUACGUACUGGUAUUAUUGGUUUCUACCUUCUGAAGAACCUUGAUGUCAUUAAUUUGGUGUCUUGGGGAAUCAGGACUGUUACUUUGAAAAAAUUAGAGUGUUUAAAGCAAGCAUACGCUUGAAUACAUUAGCAUGGAAUAAUGAAAUAGGACGUUUGAUUCUAUUUUGUUGGUUUCUAGGAUCGACGUAAUGAUUAAUAGGGAUAGUUGGGGGCAUUAGUAUUCAAUUGUCAGAGGUGAAAUACUUGGAUUUAUUGAAGACUAACUACUGCGAAAGCAUUUGCCAAGGAUGUUUUCAUUAAUCAAGAACGAAAGUUAGGGGAUCGAAGACGAUCAGAUACCGUCGUAGUCUUAACCAUAAACUAUGCCGACUAGGGAUCGGAUGAUGUUAAUUUUUUAAUGACUCAUUCGGCGCCUUACG